rnacentral:rRNA from 1 species
AGCAGCCGCCGCGGUAAUACGUAGGGGGCAAGCGUUAUCCGGAAUUACUGGGUGUAAAGGGAGCGUAGACGGUUAAACAAGUCUGAAGUGAAAUGCCGGGGCUCAACCCCGGAGCUGCUUUGGGAACUGUAGAACUGGAGUGUCGGAGGGGUAAGCGGAAUUCCCAGUGUAGCGGUGAAAUGCGUAGAUAUUGGGAGGAACACCGGCGGCGAAGGCGGCUUACUGGACGACAACUGACGUUGAGGCUCGAAGGCGUGGGUAGCAAACAGGAUUAGAUACCCGAGUAGUCCCUGUCUCUUAUAC